CAAAUGUUUUUGUGCUGAUAUACUGUUUAUUGGCUGCCUACUGAAUACAUUUGUGUCAUAAAAAUAAUCAGGUUUUUAAAGACACCUGUUUUUAUAUAAGAAUAUCUGACUAUUAGUGUGCAUUUAAGUGAUGGUGGCUUGAAAUUUCAUUCCAGGCAAGUGAAACCCAAUUACAACUGUAGAAAGGAACUAAGUUUUAUGCAAAAAAUAGCCUGUGAUCUAAUGGAACGCUGUAACUUACAGCUCAUCCUGCAUGUUUCAUCACCAACACCCUCCAUCUGUGCCUCGCUUCUGUUGCUAUGAAUUUGGCAGCAUUUUAGCAGCUAGGCAGUGUUUAUAAGAAGGGAUCCCAGCAGCUAUAAGAAGUCAGUCUCUGGGAUUACUCAUCACUUGCCUUGUGAGCUGCUUCAGGUAAUUUUGUGAAGAACUGUGAUAAAAUUAUCUCUAGAAGACCAGUAAUUCAAGAAUGCUGAUGGGCUCAUAUUAAGCACCCUCAGACAAUUGGUUGAAUCGAUGAGCUUGGAAGGAAGAUUCUUUGUGUUGGUACAGAGUGAAGAUUUUCCUCUCUCGUGAAAGGACGCGGGGAUAAAAAAAGGACAACUUCUUCAUCUCUGCAAGAAGAAAUCUGAUUCAUUGCGAACUCAAUCAGCAAGAUAACAUGAAUGUUUCCAGGAGGAUACAUUCUCUCCGAGCUCACAGGCAGAAAACCAAUGCCAACACACAUGAGAACUGGCACAGUACCUCUGCAUUCAAGCAACAGCGUGGAGAUGAGCUUGCUACAGUCCUUACACUGUACACAGUAAUUGUCAUGGUCCUCCUAAUGGCCAUCUGGGGAGCGUGGGCAAGAAAGGAUUCAUAUGUAUAGCAACAGUCUGCUUUCCCUGUUAAAUAUUAAAACAUACAUAUUUGUAAUGAUUAUUUGUACCCAGGAGGUACAACAAAUGGUACCCGCGUGUUAUAGCUUACUUGAAACUGCUUCAACCAUGGUUACUUGGGAACCGAACCUUUGAAGACAUUCAAUAGGCAAAGUACAGAAUGUGACUGUGAAUAAGGUAACAUAAAACUGCACUGUAAACAUGUUUGUAUUACCAUUUGCAUGGAUAAUUUUAAGCACAAUAUGCUUGCAGGGACAAAGGUUCAACUAAUGUUUUUAUCAGUCAAUCUUCUGUAUAUCUGUGCAGCUUUCCAUUUUUUGUCUUACACUGUCCAUUCUCUACCUCUGCUAAUACCACCAUGGUAAAACAUACUGUAUAUAUAUAAACAAGCAACUGAUCUGUCACGUCACAACAUAGGAACAAAUCAGAAGCAGCUGUCCUGCAAGCCAAGAAGGACCUCUGAAGAAGUCAAAUACUCAUCUCAGUGGCUGAAAAGAGUUUGACAAUGGGUCUUGCAUCUGCGUUUGUUUAACUUCUUGUAACACAUUUGUGAACUCAGGAAUAAACACACCAAAUACACUGUA